ACCCACCUCGCAUGCAGCCAUCAGGCUGGUCUAGGGAAGAGCUCAGCGCACUAGAAGACCUGGUGGCUGAGAUUUGUAUACGCGAGCAUCUGGGAAAGUUCUGGCAGCUUUCCACAGCUGCACCCUUGGCCCUUCACCGGCUCCGUGCUUUCGUCCCUGCUUUCGUCCACGGUGAUGAUGAGCAUCAAUAACCUCCAUGUAGAGUUGCUUCAACUGUGGCAAGCUAGCUGCUGGGCAAAGAAAACGCUUAUGCUUCACUGCAGACAAAUCUGUCAGGAAAAAACGAGUGGACGUAGCAAAGUCAACUGCCAAGCUCUGCCAAUACAAGGGCUACUCCGUGCUCCUGAUGGAUGCUCCUAGGUCCUGCUCCCAGCCCCUGAAUCUCAACCAUGGAAACUUCAAGUCCCUCGAAUUCAAUCCAACGGAUGCACCCAGUCUCCCUGCUUGCACCAGCUCCCUCUGGACAAAGAGAAGCAUCUGUGGGUGGGCUAGACCACCCUCCUCCUAGCUCAGUGGCAGCUACUUAGGGCUGUUAAUGGCAACCGCCAACCUCCUCUCACCAAAUAUCCUCAUGGAAUCAGCACCGGAGGGCAGAGGUUAGGAGAGCCAUCUCAGAAUUCCACCCACCACAAAUACUGUGCCAAAGGAACUCUGACACUGUGUCGAGACAGUGCUCAUUAGCUUCGAAUUGCCUAGAUUAUAUUUUCACUCACAGUGUGAAGAAGAGGCC